ACCUGGCUGGCUCAGUUGGUAGAGCAUGUGACUCUUGAUCUCAAGGUUUUAAGUUUGAGCCCCAUGUUGGGUG
rnacentral:tRNA from 1 species